rnacentral:rRNA from 1 species
GACGAACGCUGGCGGCGUGCUUAACACAUGCAAGUCGAACGAAGUGGCGCACGGGUGAGUAACGCGUAAUCCACCUGCCCUUCAGAGGGGGAAAACAGUUGGAAACGACUGCUAAUACCGCAUACUGACGCAGGGGAUUGCGUUUGGUAAGCUAGUUGGAGGGGUAACGGCCCACCAAGGCGAGGAUCAGUAGCCGGUCUGGGAGGAUGAACGGCCACAUUGGGACUGAGACACGGCCCAGAAUCCGACGGGAGGCAGCAGUGGGGAAUCUUCCGCAAUGGACGAAAGUCUGACGGAGCAACGCCGCGGGAGUGAUGACGGCCUUCGGGUUGUAAAGCUCUGUUAAUCGGGACGCGGUACCGGAAUAGAAAGCCACGGCUAACUACGUGCCAGCAGCCGCGGUAAUAC